rnacentral:rRNA from 1 species
UACAGAGGUCUCAAGCGUUGUUCGGAUUCAUUGGGCGUAAAGGGUGUGUAGGUGGCGCCGUAAGUCGGGUGUGAAAUUUCGGAGCUUAACUCCGAAACUGCAUUCGAUACUGCGGUGCUUGAGGGCUGGAGAGGAGACUGGAAUUCAUGGUGUAGCAGUGAAAUGCGUAGAGAUCAUGAGGAAGACCAGUGGCGAAGGCGGGUCUCUGGACAGUUCCUGACACUGAGACACGAAGGCCAGGGGAGCAAACGGG